AUACGUAGGGAGCGAGCGUUGUCCGGAAUUACUGGGUGUAAAGGGAGCGUAGGCGGGAGUGCAAGUCGGAUGUGAAAUACAUGGGCUCAACCCAUGGGCUGCAUUUGAAACUGCAUUUCUUGAGUGAAGUAGAGGUAAGCGGAAUUCCUGGUGUAGCGGUGAAAUGCGUAGAUAUCAGGAGGAACACCGGUGGCGAAGGCGGCUUACUGGGCGUUUACUGACGCUGAGGCUCGAAAGCGUGGGGAGCAAACAGGAUUAGAUACCCUGGUAGUCCACGCUGUAAACGAUGAUUACUAGGUGUGGGGGGACUGACCCCUUCCGUGCCGCAGUUAACACAAUAAGUAAUCCACCUGGGGAGUACGGCCGCAAGGUUGAAACUUAAAGGAAUUGACGGGG
rnacentral:rRNA from 1 species